CCCUUAGAUGUCCUGGGCCGCACGCGCGCUACACUGAUGCGUGCAACGAGUUUAUAACCUUGGCCUGAAAGGUCUGGGUAAUCUUUUGAACGUGCAUCGUGAUAGGGAUAGAUUAUUGCAAUUGUUAAUCUUGAACGAGGAAUUCCUAGUAAACGCGAGUCAUCAGCUCGCAUUGAUUACGUCCCUGCCCUUUGUACACACCGCCCGUCGCACCUACCGAUUGAAUGGUUCGGUGAAGAUCUCGGACUUCGAUAUUUAUUCUUUAUUGAGUUUAUAUUGUGGGAAGUUAUCUAAACCUCAUCAUUUAGAGGAAGGUGAAGUCGUAACA
rnacentral:rRNA from 1 species